GCUGCCGAGAGAAUUUCAGGCUGUAACUGCUAAGAGCUGGCCCACGUGCAGAAAAGAAAGCAAAGGGGUUUGGUGUGGCAAAGUAAAGUGCAUUGGAAGAAUUAUAUCUGGAAGUUUGCAGUUCACUUCCAAGCCUUCAAAGAGCUUUACAAACCUGACUGAAUGAACCCUCUUGGCUCCGUGUAAGCAGAACUAUAAAAUCCUUCCUGGCCAGAGGCAAAACCCUUUCACCUGUAAAGGGUUAAGAAGCUAAGAUAACCUCACUGGCACCUGACCAAAAUGACCAAUGAGGAGCAGCCUUUCAGUAGCGGUGCCUAAUCCCUGAGCAUCACAGCGAACAACAUCACUCUGUGGAACGCAAGGCCUGGGCCCAGCAAAUGUCUGGCUACGAAACUUCUGCUCCUUCAUCUCCCUGUCCCCGUCCUCUCAUUUCCCUCUCCAUUGCUGUUAUCUAUGGAUCUGUUAGCUGAGUAUAAACCAGGUUUGCUCUGCCCAUUAAUACAACACUGUUCCCAAAAUUAAACAUUAAACAUCCUACAGUAUUUUCACUCCUGAAUGGAGCCUCCAGAGAGGGUAUUAGAAGAUGAUUUGUUAAGGGACCAAAACAACGGCUUGUUCCUGGGAGACUCUCAAUAUUUUUCCAUGUUCUAUUUUUUUCAUUUGCCAGCAGCUGUCAAAAUAUUUUCAUAAAUAUAUUUCAACAAACCUAAGAGUGAAAAACAAUCUAAUUUCCCCUAAUUAAUGUAGCUCAGAAGGGCUAUUAUCCACUUAAACUCUUCCGACUAAGCCGUAAAUGCUGCUGGAAGAUAAAUAUUCUUAUGAAUAUUUUUAUUCUAUGCCAGUGACUUUCAGCAUUUUGCAAGGAGACGGAAAGAGUGGCUGCCGUUUCAAACACUUGCCAGCCAGUGCCACACUGUGGUGUCUGAGAUGGGACAGUAAUUGAAUGCAACUGUAAGCAGUGUCAGGAUGAGCUCCACCCUGACAUCUGGUGGUGAGCUGUGGCAAGGCUCCACCCUGACAUCUGGUGGUGAGGUGUGGCAAGUUGUGGAAAAGAACUUCAGGGGCCGAUCUCAUUUGCAUAGGCACACCCACCCCGCCUAGAAUGAGGCCAUAACUGCCCAAAUGGUCACUUUGGCUGCUGUGGGAUCCCCAGCGUCUCUGUUAUUGGGGCGGGAAGAAUAAAUUGUUAUUACCCUGAUUAUGGGAACUCUGCUUGGAACUGUACUUGGCCUUUUGUUAUGAUGGAGGGACUCACCAUCAACUAAGUAGCACUCGCUAGGCAAGGGUCAUGGGUUUUAAAACUCUGUGACUGGAGAGAGGCUGGGGACAAGUAUUAAUACUGGGUGGCAUGGGCCCCUUGGUGAGGGCCUUACAUGCUAAUUGCACUUCCUCCUCUCUCCACUGUGGAAUCUCAGAGCUAAUUUUGAUUCCAUUAGGAGUCUAGUUACAGGCUGCUGAGCUCACUUCGGGCUAAUGGUGCACCAGCACUGAGGCUCCCCUACUGCAAGCUGAAUUCACCAAAGAGCUGAACUGACUAAGAGCUGAAAUCACUGAGCAUUGUGUUAAGUAGUGGGGGAGCCUGAAGAUAUAUUGUGGAGCAGUUUGUGGGACAGCUGGAGUGCCUUGUGGACAGGCUGGUGGAGCAGUUCGUAGGAUGGUGGGAGCUGCUUGUGGGACGCGGAGCAGUUUGUGGACCCGGCUGGUGGAGCAGUUCGUGGGACGGUGGGAGCUGCUUGUGGGCCGCGGAGCGGAGCUGAGCGAAGGAAUUCGUGGGGCGGCUGGCGGAGUGGAGCGGAGCGAAGCGAAGGCCUAUGGAGCUGUGGGACGGUCAGCUUCAGAUCAUGUAAGGUGCCUCUUACCCCCGUCCCAUCUCCACCCAGGUUGGGAGGUAAAGCUCUGCAGAUAAACUUUCGAACUCUGGGGCUGCCCUGACCAGGGACAGAGACUUUUGGGUCAUUGGACUUUUGGGACUUUGGGUGAUUUGGGGUUGCUGGACUCAAGAACCAAAGGGAAAGGGGCAUGCCCCAAUUUGCUUGGGGUGGGUUUUUUUACUCAUGGGUUGUGCUAGGAAUCCUGUUGGUGGUGUUUCCCCAACAUAAUGCCACAUUGUUUCUCUCUGUUAUUAAAAGGCUUUUUGCUACACUCAGACUAUGUGCUUGCGAGAGGGGAAGUAUUUCCUCCUGGAGGCGCCCAGUGGGGGUGGUAUAUAUUUGUCCCAGGUCACUGG